rnacentral:rRNA from 1 species
GGGUGCAAUAUGCGUUCAAAGAUUCAAUGAUUCACGGAAUUCUGCAAUUCCCAUUACGUAUCGCAUUUCGCUGCGUUCUUCAUCGUUGCAAGAGCCAAGAGAUCCAUUGUCAAAAGUUGU